ensembl:lncRNA
GUUUGAGGUGCUAAGGAUGUUUAUUUUUCUGUCCAUUCACGUGGUUUUGUUUCGUUCUCGCCACCGGCGUAUUUGUAGCAGCCCCGUGAGAUCUGUUUAAUCCUGCUGGGUUUUAGACGAGUUUAGCUCUCACUCUUAUCAGAGAGACAGUGAGACAGAUACUGAGACAGACCGACAGUGACUAGGAGAGAUGGUUAGAUAGAUAGACAGACAAAAGAGGGCAGGCAGACUGAGAGAGUAAGACAUACGUGUGACAGGCAGACAGUGAGACAGUAAAACAGACAGUGAGACGGGCAGAGAGGCCGACAGUAAGGCAGACAGUGAGACAGUAAAACAGACAGUGACGAGCAGAGAGUCAGACAGUAAGGCAGACAGUGAGACGGGCAGAGAGUCCGACAGUAAAACAACAGUGUGACGGGCAGAGAGUCAGACAGUAAGGCAGACAGUGAGACAGUAAGGCAGACAGUGAGACGGGCAGAGAGUCAGACAGUAAGGGCAGACAGUGUGACGGGCAGAGAGUCAGACAGUAAACAGACAGUGUGACGGGCAGAGAGUCAGACAGUAAGGCAGACAGUCAGACAGUAAGGCAGACAGUGAGACAGUAAUGCAGACAGUGAGACGGGCAGAGAGUCAGACAGUAGGCAGACAGUGAGAUGGGCAGAGAGUCAGACAGUAAGGCAGACAGUGAGACGUAAAAAAGAGUGUGACAGGCAGACAGUAGGACAGGCAGACAGUAAGGCAGACAGUAAGGCAGACAGUGAGACAGUAAAAAAGAGUGUGACAGGCAGACAGUGUGACAGGCAGACAGUGUGACAGGCAGACAGUAGGACAGGCAGACAGUAAGGCAGACAGUGAGACAGUAAAAAAGAGUGUGACAGGCAGACAGUGUGACAGGCAGACAGUGUGACAGGCAGACAGUAAGGCAGACAGUGAGACAGCCAGAAUGUUGUCGUCAGCAGUGCAGUAACUCCGAGAAUAUCAGGGUGUGUGUUGUAAGACCACCGAUCAACUCAAAACGUGCGAUUUGUAUCCAGUGAUUAUUCCAGUGGUCACCAACCCUCGUCCUGGAGAACCUCCUGGAGAUCCUCCUUCCCGCAGGUUU